GGCGAGGCAUGGUAUGUUUGACAAGCUGGAGAAAUAAGGGGACUCAGACUUCGCAAAGCAGUUACCAACCUGUUGGAGUAAAUGCUCAACGUUCAGCUUAAAUGUAACUCAAGUUUUUAAAGCUUGGCGUAGUCUUUCACGGUUGAAAGACUAGCAGUUUUUUCUCUUGAAAGUUACCCAUUCGUAUUGAUUAAUAUUUCCUAACCUGUACCCGGAGCCAGGACCCAUGCUCACAGCCAUCGCAAAGUCGCAAAGGGGGAAGAAGGUGAAAACCAACAUGCUUAAGAUUUGCGACCAGAAUGGUUUGAAAUAUUCAGGAUUAAGAAGUUGGGGAAAAGGUAGGUAACAACUAUCUUUAAAAAAAUGUAUUGGUUAUGUUUAUAAGAAAAUGCAGAAUUCAUUUAUGUACAUAGUUUUCUUAUAAUCUGACCUUGAAAAAUAGUGUACCAUAUUUAAGAACUAUAGGAAAUCAUUUGAGAAAUGAUCUCAUUCUUAAAAUUAUAAUAUUGAACCUGUACACUGAGGUCCAUUUGACAACCAAAUUAAUGUUAAUGUAUACUAUUUCCCCUGCUCUAUAUUCUGCAUUAGAAUUUUAACAUAAAUGCAUUCUUGGAAUCUGUCAAUCAUUUUUUGAAUGUUUCUUUAUGCCUGCAAAUAUAUACUGAGUGACUGCUGUGUGCCAGCCGCUAUAGUAGGUUGUGGAGAUACCUGUCAUCAAUUCAGAUAAAAUCUCUGCCCGCACAAAACUUAUAUUGAGGGAUCAAGAAGAAACAGUAAAUAAGCAAUACAUAUCAAAUGAUUAUAAGUGCUAUGUAGAAUAAUAAACUAGAGAUUAAAGGUUAAGGAGUGCCAGGUAAAAAUGGGCAUAUAUUUUAUGUAGGGUGGCCAAAGAAGAACUCACUGAGGUGACCUUUCCUUUUUCUGGCUACACCUGCAGCACGUGGAAGUUCCCAGGCCAGGGAUUAUUCUGUGCCACAGCAGUGACAAUGCUGGAUCCUUAAUUCACUGAGCCGCCAGGGAACUCCUGAGAAGGUGACUUUUGGGCAGAAGCCUGAAGACUGAAGAAAGCGAGGAGUGAGCUGUGGGUGUCUAAUGAAAGCACAUGUGGAGAACAUAGUAACUGUUAGCUAUUACUACUGUAUUCAUUUUCUACUGCUGUUGUAAAAAAAUUACCAUAAAUUUACUAGUUUAAAAGAUCACAAAGGAGUUCCCCUUUUGGCUCAGUGGUUAAGAAACCUGACUAGGAUCCAUGAGACACAGGUUCGAUCCCUGGCCUUGCUCAGUGGCUUAAGGAUCCUGGUGUCAGUAGCAGACACAGCUCGGAUCCUGUGUUGCUGUGGCUGUGGGGUAGGCCGGCAGCUUCAGCUUUGAUUUGACCCGUAGCCUGGGAAUCUCGAUAUACUGUGGGUGCAGCCCUAAAAAGACUAAAGCCAAAAAAAAAAAAAAAAAAAAAAAUCACAAAUACAGGUAAAGUUCUGCAGGUCUGAAGUCUAGCACUGGCUCACUGGGUGAAAUAAUAAUGUCAGCUGACUGCAUUCCUUCCAGCUGACAGGUUCUGGGGGAGAAUCUGUUGCGUUGCCUUUUCCUAAUUCUAGAGGCCACUUAUAUUCCUUCGCCUAUGGCCCCUUUCAUUUCAAAGCCAGUAAUAUUAGUCAGAGACUUCAUAGAUUAAAGAAUUUUAAGGAUUCAAGUGAUUAAUUUAGGCCUAUCCGUAUCUCUCAUCUCAAGGUUCUUAACCUUAAUCAUAUCUGCAAAGUCUCUUUUUCCUCAUAAGUUAAAUUAUUCACAGAUUCUGGUGAUUAGGCUGUGGACGCCUGCCCCAGUCCACCCUCUGGCUCCCAAAGAUUCAUGUCUGUUCAUGUGUAAAGUCUAGUCACCCCCUCUCUUGGUUCCCGGAUUUUCAGCCCAUUACAUCUCAUUUAUAUCUCAAAAAUCCCAGAUAUCAUC
rnacentral:lncRNA from 1 species